rfam:Clostridiales bacterium 38_11 MPI_scaffold_1911, whole genome shotgun sequence.
GGGGGCGAAAUUGGUUUCGACGGGGGUGUAGAAGUAUAAUAAGCGAGCCGCUGCCGCCAAACAGCGUUAAAAGUGGCAACCUAAAUUAAAAGCAAAAACAAACAAUAAUUUAGCAUUCGCAGCGUAAGCUGCUAGCUUGUUCCACUUAGCCGACCUGUAGGCUAUACUGGGGCAUCAAACAAAUCAGGGAACUGCAUUAGGGACGCUCCGACCUUUUGUGGAACAAUUGGAGAUAGCCGGGUGUGGUAUUUGUCGAGAUUGACCACAUCAAGCGAUAACUAAAUCUUGACUGCGCUCGGAGAAAGUUAUAUGGAAAUGCUUUCGGACGUGGGUUCGACUCCCACCGCCUUCACCA